rnacentral:rRNA from 1 species
UACGACUACAUAUCAGGCAUAUCAAUAAGCGGAGGAAAAGAAACUAACUAGGAUUCCCUUAGUAACGGCGAGUGAAGCGGGAAGAGCUCAAAUUUGAAAUCUUCAAGGUUCUACCUUGACGAAUUGUAGUUUAUAGAAGUGUUUUCUGUUAGUGGAGUGGCAAAAGUUCCUUGGAAUAGGACAUCAUAGAGGGUGAGAAUCCCGUAUUUGGUCAUUCCUCCUAGCGUUGUGAUACACUUUCAACGAGUCGGAUUGUUUGGGAAUGCAGUCCAAAAUGGGUGGUAAAUUUCAUCUAAAGCUAAAUAUUGGCGAGAGACCGAUAGCGAACAAGUACCGUGAGGGAAAGAUGAAAAGAACUUUGAAAAGAGAGUUAAACAGUACGUGAAAUUGUCAAAAGGGAAGCGUUUGACACCAGUGUUGUUUUUCCGAAAAUCAAUUACGAAUGUUUUGUUUUUGAGGAGUUAUGACUUCAUCGGCUUGCUCCUUUCUUUACGAAACUUUCUUAAUGCACUUUUCGGUUAACAAGUCAACAUCAAUUUCUUUUGUUGUAAAAGAGUCAUUGGAAGGUGGCUUUCACUUCGGUGAAAGUGUUUAUAGCCUUUGGCUUCUGCAAUCGGAGAGAUUGAGGUCUGCAGCGUAGAUCCUUUGGGGUUAGAUACGUUAGAUGCUAAGUUAUAGCUUUUUCAUAGACAACUUGUUGACUAUGAUUUAAUCAUUGUAGCUUACUCGCUUGACGCUAUUUUACCUACGCUUAGGAUGUUGAAUCUGUGCGAGACUAC